CGUAGGGUGCGAGCGUUGUUCGGAAUUACUGGGCGUAAAGCAUGCGUAGGCGGUUUAGUAAGUUAGAUGUGUAAUCCCCGGGCUCAACUCGGGAGCUGCAUUUAAGACUGCUAGACUAGAAUAUGGUAGGGGGUAAUGGAAUUCUUAGUGUAGGGGUAAAAUCCGUAGAUAUUAAGAGGAACACCAGAAGCGAAGGCGAUUACCUGGGCCAUUAUUGACGCUGAGGCAUGAAAGCGUGGGGAGCAAACAGGAUUAGAUACCCUGGUAGUCCACGCUGUAAACGAUGAGCGCUAGGCGCUGGGAUUUUCGGAUUUCAGUGUCGUAGCUAACGCGUUAAGCGCUCCGCCUGGGGAGUACGGUCGCAAGACUA
rnacentral:rRNA from 1 species